UUAUAUUGAUUUUAAUUCUCUUUAUUUUCAUUAUGCAAAUACACAUACAUACACAUGCGCACACCCACACACACACACACACACACACACACACACACAUACAUACAUACAGAUAUAGAGAUAAUUUGAAUACCUUAAUUAAAUUCAAUUUUUUAAAUGCAUGGAACUGUCCUUUCUUAUCUCGAAUAUGAAUAAAUGAUUUAUAUAAAUUUCUGAUAAUUUUUCAUCAGACUUUGAUGUCUACGCCAAUGAGACACGCAGAGAGUUUGAACCUGCUCGGAGCCGAAAGCGGGUUGUACGGUAAUUGGAGAGCACAACGCCGGGGAACCACGCUCGCGUUUCUAAUGAGGCGACCGAGAACUUGACCCCCAACGAAUAGGAGAAUACCUAUCGUUCUUCUUCCCUAUGGAAGAUUUAUAUGGGAUUUUUUAUGAAAACUUCGACGAGCAAUUAGACAGAACGACCAGAAUGAGAUGAUAUUGCCUGGGUUAGAAUGAAUAAGAGAGAAAGGGCCAAAGAUAUCUCGUAGGGGAUUCUAACGCAACCCUUCAAUUACACACGUAGCGUACGUUUUUAUGCUGGCAGGUUUACUUUACGCCAUUAGCAAUUCGAUAUCCUCGAGAAUGGAAUACAAGUAAAAACUUCUUCUCGUAUCAUGUUAUCACUGUUAUCAAAAUAAUCGUUCGAUAAAGAUUCAUUUAUUCGUGUCCUUUUUUUUUUCUUUUUUUUUUUUUUUUUUUUUUUUUUUACAGAUAACGAAGAUUCUAGAGAAAACGAAAAAAUCAUUAUUAGUACGUUUUGUGUGGAAAGAAAAAUUCGUGGAAAUUUUUAGGAGUGCCUCUGUCAACUGAUCACCGACGAACUGCUCGUUUGCUCAACUCUCUUAUUUACGAAGCAUCCUCAGGGGCAACUUCAGAAGUUUACGCUUAAUCACGAAAUGGACUGGGAUUGGAAAUGGCAAACUCGCUUCUAUUUCUCUCUUCUCUCUCUCUCCUCUCUCUUUUCUCGUUUGUUGAUAUCUACGAGUUAGCAACGAACUGGUGGGGGAGAGUUUAGUUAGCGACACUCACGAGUUGUCAUUUUGCUUUGAAGUUGGCCGAGCAGAGCUCUUCUAGCUUGCUGCAACUCUUCUUCCCUUGAUCAUGCUUAUUAGCGAAAGUGGAAGAACGACUGGCGAUACGUCGAACUUGAGUUAUACAUUUUUUUUCUGCUCGAUACGAGAAAUCUCAUCUCUCGUGUUGGUGAAACGACGCGUAUGAACGACUUCGAUCGAACUAACUUUUCAAUAUCAGUACUAUUCACGUACGGUCUCUCUUUAUGGUGUCAUCCUCUUUAACCGCAUCCUCUUGGCUUCUCUCAUAGAGAGAAAGAGAGAGAGAGAGAGAGAGAGAGAGAGAGAGAUUUAGUUAAUACAUAUAUAUAUCCCGAAUAUUAAAUAACGCGAAAAUUGACUUAUUCCAUUUCUAAGUCUCUAACUCGCUUGUGAAAAUCUACAUUAAUCGAUAUUAUUAUAUUUCAUUUAUUCGAGAAAUUUUUGUCGUCGAAUCAUUUUUUUUUAUCCCGCUUAUCAUUUUGAUGAAUUAUCUUGGUUUUUUUCUUUUUUUUUUUUCUUUUCCUUUUUCUUGUUCUUUUUUUCUUUUUUUUUUUUUUUUUUUCUUUUUUUUUGUCAAAGAUUUCAAUCGUAUUCGUUUAAUAUUAACUCAACACAUUUUCAUAUGUAUUUUAUAUAUUAUUUUGAAAAUCCAAUGAGCUUACGAGCUUAUCAUUAAGAAAAGAUUUAGAACUGGUUUAAUGCGUAAAAAUUCGUUCAAGAAUAAUUUUCUACGAUAACGUGAGUUAAAGUAAUACUCGUAAUGGUCGUUUUAUGGUUCUUUUUAUUGUACACGAGACAGCUACUUAAAAGAAGUUUGUUGGACCAUAUAGUGUAUAUAUGCAAGACCAUUAUCGAUCGACGACGAAAUUUCUUGGAAUCGAGUUACUAAUUUAUCGUAUACGUACGUACCAUACGUUCGUCGAUAAAGAACUUGACCUUACGAGAUUGUUAUUACCAUAAUUUCAAGCGUUAAUAUUAAUAAAAUGAAAGAAAUCUUUGUCGAUUGAAUUAUUAUUAUUUUUUUCUUUUUUAAAUAAAUCUUAUUAAAAAAAAAAAAUUCCAGAUAAAUCGAGAAUAAUGAUGGAGAAAAAGGAGUGAAAAAUAGAAAUAUAGAAAAGAAAUUCGGAUCAUUGAAUAUAACAGAGCUAAACAUAGAGUUUCCGCUUGGUAUAAUAGAUCGAAUGGUGGUAUGGCAGAUGGCACGUGACUCAUACAUAAAACGUGGCCCGCAAGGCACCCUUCAGGGGUCAGGAAUGAUUCGUAAAUAAAUUAGCUCGCUAUCGGAACUCAAGAUAACGCGUUAUUUAUGGACCGCUCGUGACGGUGCACCCUUUUCACCUAAGCUACGAGGUAAAAGAAGAGUGGAAAAGGCCUGCAGACUAGGAGCAUCAGUAACAGCAAUAGCAAUAGUAAUAGUAGCAACAGCAUCAGCAGCAGCAGCGGUAACAACAGCAUCAGCAUCAGCCGUAGCAGUAGUAGUAGUAGUAGUAGUAGUAGUAGUAGUAGUAGUAGUAAUAGCAGCAGGUGGAGAAAAGCCUGGCUAUCGUGGUUGCUCCGUUUAAUGGGAUACAUGAAGGGCUCGAAUACCACGGGCUUGGCCAGGUGGAAUAAGCGAAGCCGCGGCUUUACCAUGUUCAACGCCUUUGACCUAAGCCGAUUUUCCAUCGAUAUAAUAUCAUGCGCGCGCGCACUCUUAUGUGUAUGUGUGUUAUUUAUAUAUAUAUAUAUAUAUCGCUAAUAUUUAAAGCUAACAUAAUCUAUCGAAAAUAUCUUGAGUAUGAUUCAAUGAACCGUUAAAUAUACCGUUUACGACUUAAUAGGAUCAAUAAUUUGCUAAUCUCCGUUAGAGAGAAAGAGAAAGAGAAAAAGAGAGAUUAGAUAUUAAUAGAUAAAAUUAUUAAAUUGAUUUACUCGAGUGUUAAGUGUUUUACGAUCGAGUACACUUAUAUAUCAUAUAAAAUAUCUAAAUCCUUUGACCAUGUAAAAAAAAAAAAAAAAAAAAGAUAUUGUUUGCGUUGUUGCGAUCUAUAUAUUUUUUUUUUCUUUUCUUAUUUUCUUUUUUCUUUUUUCUUUUUCUUUUUUUUUUUUUUCGUAUAUACCCGCUUUAGGAAGGUUCGUUAAUUGAUAGGUGGGCGUGGUGUGUUGUAUCUGGUUUGCUGAUCGAUACGCCAGGAAUACGGCCACGUAUUCCAUUUCCAAGUUUUAUCCUUGUUUCUUUCAUUUCUUCUUUUUUUUUUUUUUUUUUUUGUUUCUUCUUUUCUUUCUUUUUUCCUUUCUAUUUCAUAUUCUCGUAUUUAUUAUCGACUAUAUACAUUUUCUUCGUAAUAAUUAUUUCUUUUUCUGCUUAGGUAAAAGGAAGGUGUUUGACGGAGCAGAGAAAAUAAGGAGGUAAUAAUUCAAGAAAUAAAGGAUAGAAUGAGAAAGAGAGAAAGGAGACUUUGAAGGGUGCAGAAAAAAAAAAAAAAUCAAAGGCUUUUGGUGGUUCUUCUCGUUUUGUAAAAUAAGACCGAAAAUCCAAUAUAAAAGCAAUAUCUGAAGUGACACGGCGAACAGCACGACGGAGUUCCUCUCUCGCCCUAUCAACGGUACUUUCUCUCCUUUUUUUUUUAUCCACUUUACUUGCAUCUUUCUCUCUGUCUCUCUCUCUCUCUCUCUCUCUCUCUCUCUCACUCACUCUCUCUCUCUUUUUCUCUUCCUUUCUCUUUCUCUUUCUCUUACAUCAUACACCUAUAAUACUCUUUUCUUCCGUUUAGGAGACUUCCAAGCGCCCUCGAUUCGAGGAAGCAAUUUUCUUAUGGACGUCUGCAGCUCUUCGUCUAUUCGCUUUUACUUCUUAUAUAUAUAUAUAUAUAUGAGUGUGUGUAUGUAUAUAUAUAUAUAUAUAUAUAUAUAUAUAUAUAUAUAUAUAUAUAUGUAUGUACAUUCUCAACCUUCUCUCAUAUUUAUAUAUGUAUCUAUGUGAAAUAUGUAUAUAUUCACGCGUGAUAUGAUUUACGAGUUGCUUUCUUACCAAAUUAACAAGAUCGUUAAUUUGUGUUUUAAUCGCGUCGCGUCACGUCAAUUUUCUUUCCCGUUAUUUUGUAUUAAUUAAAUACAAUAUUUGUAAUUAUUGGAUUCUUAUUUGUCGGACUAACGUAGAACACGAUUUAUUUCUUAUCGUUAUUAAAAUAUUUCUUUCUGAUUAAUUUCUUUUUUUUUUUUCCCCCCUCUAUCGACAUGUUUUUUUUUUUCUUUCUUCUUUUAUCCGUACAAUCUCGAACAACAUAGAUUUCGAUGUUCGAAUAGCGGUCAUCGAGUAAGCUAAAUCGUACUCUCCUCGUGUUAUAUUUAGAAAUCUAUAUCGUUUUUCUUCCCCUACUCCUCUCAACAACAACGAGAAAAUCUUUAGUCUCGUCUAUGUCAGGGGGCGAGCGCGGGGGGGGGGAGUUGCAGGGAGAGACUCAUUUUAGCAACUUGAACUCAAUGUGAUUAUAAGUAAGAACGAGUAUUAGCUGAAAAUAUAUUAUUCGUUUAUUAAUUUAAAUAUUAGUAUUAAUUUUUUUUUCUUUUUUUUUUUUGUUUUUUUUUUUUUAUAUUUCUCUCGGUAUGUUUUCUCUUUUCGACAUUUCAAAUAUAUAAUCUGUCUAUGAGGAAAUUCAUAAAUAUAUGAAUUUAAGAAAUGAGUUAGUCAAUGUACGACGAGUCUAUGACAUAGUUAAUCAAUAUAUAAGUCUACGAAGAAGUUAGAAAUGAAUUAGAAAUAGUCGUAUGUUACAGAAUAGAAACUGAGUUUGUGAUUACUUCAUUCUCGUUUACGAAAGUUUUGGGAAAGAUCACGUGUGUUUCCGGUUAGUUCAAAGCCUCUCUCUCUCUCUCUCUCUCUCUCUCUCUCUUUCUCUCUCUUUCUGUGGGAUGGGAAAUACUUUUUCCUGACGGAUCUUCGCUUUUCCAUCAUUCGCACCACGAAGCUUCUUCCUCAAGCUUAUCCCAAGGGAAUUUAUCACCAUAAUUGCUUUCUUUUUUUUUCUUUUCUUUUCUUUUUUUUUUCUCUUUUUUUUUUUUUUUUUUUUUUUUUAGAUUGAAUUUCGUAAAAGCUAUAGAACGUUAUCCGCGAGAAGAAGUGACGUUAAACCUUUUAUAUAGAACUAUGAGAUAACUCGUUAGUCAAGAGAUAAUGAUGUUUUGUCGGUAUAUAUAAUUUCGUAUAUCAAUUAUAUAUAGUAUGUUAUAUAAUAUAUUAUGGUAUAAGUACAGUAUUGAGUAUAUUAUACUACGAUACAUCGUAUCGGUUAUGUAAUAAUAUAUUGUAGAUUUCGUUUGUAUUAUUCUUUUGGUGUUUUUCUUUUUUUUUUUUUUUUUUUUUUUCUCUCUUGUAGGAUUAGAAAAUAUAUAAUUAUUAAGAUGUUAAUUUGUAUUUACGAAUCUUUUAAAGGGAAGAAUAAUAAUAAGUAAUAGAAUUUUUUGUUUUUCGUUUUUUCUUUUUUUUUUUUUUUCGUUUUUCUUUCUCAGAUAGAUCCUUCUUUGUAUCUGUUUAAAAUCUCUUUCUCUUUUUGUCAGCGUUGCUUGCUGCUUGCUUUUAUCUUCGUUGGCUCGCGUCACUGUCGCGUUGGUAACGAGAUUUUAUCCAAAGCCGGCUACGUGUCAUUUACAUAUAUCGCCUGAAGGCGGCUUCUACCACACAGCUUUUUAUUUCUCUCUCUCUCUCUCUCUCUCUCUCUCUUUCUCUUUUUCUCUCCCCUCCUCUCUCUCUUUCUCAUCUCUUUACGGCGAUUUCGAGGGUGCGCUAGGAGAUGGCCGUCGAUUUACAUUUACAAGCAAGACUUUUGCGAAAAGGAACUGAUACGAAUUUAACUGGGCAAGAAA